CCUACGGGUGGCAGCAGUGGGGAAUAUUGGACAAUGGGGGCAACCCUGAUCCAGCCAUGCCGCGUGUGUGAAGAAGGCCCUCGGGUUGUAAAGCACUUUCAGUGAGGAAGAACGCCUGGUGGUUAAUACCCAUCAGGAAAGACAUCACUCACAGAAGAAGCACCGGCUAACUCCGUGCCAGCAGCCGCGGUAAUACGGAGGGUGCGAGCGUUAAUCGGAAUUACUGGGCGUAAAGCGCGCGUAGGUGGCUUGAUAAGCCGGUUGUGAAAGCCCCGGGCUCAACCUGGGAACGGCAUCCGGAACUGUCAAGCUAGAGUGCAGGAGAGGAAGGUAGAAUUCCCGGUGUAGCGGUGAAAUGCGUAGAGAUCGGGAGGAAUACCAGUGGCGAAGGCGGCCUUCUGGACUGUCACUGACACUGAGGUGCGAAAGCGUGGGUAGCAAACAGGAUUAGAUACCCCAGUAGUC
rnacentral:rRNA from 1 species